rnacentral:rRNA from 1 species
UACGUAGGGGGCGAGCGUUGUCCGGAUUUAUUGGGCGUAAAGAGCUCGUAGGCGGUCUGUUACGUCUGCUGUGAAAACCCUGGGCUUAACCCUGGGCUUGCAGUGGAUACGGGCAGACUAGAGGCAGGUAGGGGAGAAUGGAAUUCCCGGUGUAGCGGUGAAAUGCGCAGAUAUCGGGAGGAACACCGGUGGCGAAGGCGGUUCUCUGGGCCUGACCUGACGCUGAGGAGCGAAAGCGUGGGGAGCGAACAGG